rnacentral:lncRNA from 1 species
GGAAAGAAAUCAUAGACUAUUCAGUGGCUCAACAAAUACUCUUCCUCAAUUGUUGGAUAAGAUCAAAUUGUUUUCCUAUUGGUGGUUGAAGUCGACGAGUGUGACUUUAGCCUCAAACUAUCAUAGCUGGUGGUCUAAUCCUUUAUUUUGUUUGGGCCUUGUAUGAUCUGUUUAUGGUUUUUUUUUUCUUGACUCUUUGUAAUUAUUUAUAGUCGAUUUUUGUACACCUUGUACUGGAUAGACUAUUUUAUUAAUAUAUAUCUCAUUUUGACUUGUUAAAAAAAA